CCCCGCCCCGGGAUCGCGCCGCUGCUUGUUUACGCCCCGGCGCAGCCUAGUCCGACCCUGGGGCCCGCCUCGCCCGCCGCCUAUUGGCGGAGGAGGCAUUCAGGCUGGCGACGAUUGGCCCGGGAGAGGCAGAGGGGUAGGCUGCGCGGGAGGCCGAGAGGGGCAGCCGGUGAUGGCGGCGGCGGCAGCGGCAGGUCGGCUGGGCUGGUUGCUCGCCGCGUUCUGCCUGGGCAGCGCCGGCAGGAAGGCGGCGCCGGGUCCGCGAGUGCUGGGCAUCUGUGUGGAGGAGGACGGAGCCGCGGGCGCUGGGUGGGCGCGCGGAGAGGAGGUUAGGGCCGUGCCGGAGGCCACCUUCCGCCUGCGCCUCUUUGGCUUGGGCUUCCCCAACAGCUCCUGGUCCUGGGUGGCCCCUGAGGGGGCGGGUUGCCCGGAGGGCGGGCCGGCCACCGCGCCUGGGGAAGUGGCGGACCCCACGGGCGAGUGGCACGCACUGCUACGCCUGCGCGCCCAGGCCGAACGCCCGCACUCGGGACUCCCGGCGGUGCGCGGGGAGCGAGGCAGCUCCGCGGCCGAGGAAGCGGUGGCUUCCUCAGGCGAGUGGCGCGCGCUGCUGCGCCUGCGCGCCGAUGCCGAGCGCCCGCACUCUGCGCUGCUGGCGGUGCGCGUGGAACCCGGCGGCGCUGUGGCCGAGGAGUCGGCUCCGCCCUGGGCGCUGGGCCUGGGGGCGGCGGGGCUGCUGGCGCUGGCGGCGCUGGCACGGGGCCUGCAGCUGAGCGCGCUGUCGCUGGCGCCGGCCGAGGUGCAGGUACUGCGCGAGAGCGGCUCGGAGGCGGAGCGGGCGGCGGCGCGGCGCCUGGAGCCCUCGCGGCGCUGGGCCGGCUGCGCCCUCGGCGCACUGCUGCUGCUGGCCAGCCUGGCGCAGGCAGCGCUGGCUGUGCUGCUCUACCGCGCGGCCGGGCAGCGCGCGGUGCCCGCUGUGCUGUGUAGCGCGGGGCUUGUGUUUCUGGUGGGCGAGGUGGUGCCGGCCGCCGUGAGCGGGCGCUGGGCUUUGGCGCUGGCGCCGCGCGCGCUGGUGCUCAGCCGCCUGGCUGUGCUGCUUACCUUGCCCGUGGCGCUGCCGGUGGGGCAGCUGCUAGAGCUGGCGGCGCGGCCCGGGCGGCUGCGCGAGCGCGUGCUGGAGCUGGCGCGCGGCGGCGGCGACCCCUACAGCGAUCUUAGCAAGGGCGUGCUGCGCUGCCGGACGGUGGAGGAUGUGCUCACGCCACUCGAGGACUGCUUCAUGCUGGACGCCAGCGCCGUGCUGGACUUCAGCGUCCUGGCCAGCAUCAUGCAGAGCGGCCACACGCGCAUCCCCGUGUACGAGGAGGAGCGCUCCAACAUUGUGGACAUGCUCUACCUCAAGGACUUGGCCUUCGUGGACCCCGAAGACUGCACGCCGCUCAGCACCAUAACCCGCUUCUACAACCACCCACUCCACUUUGUCUUCAACGACACCAAGCUGGAUGCCGUCCUGGAAGAGUUCAAACGAGGGAAGUCCCACCUGGCCAUCGUGCAAAAGGUGAAUAACGAGGGUGAAGGUGACCCCUUCUAUGAGGUGCUGGGCCUGGUCACCCUGGAGGACGUCAUUGAGGAGAUCAUCAAGUCGGAGAUCCUCGAUGAGUCUGAAGACUAUCGAGACAUGGCCAUGAGGAAGAAGCCUGCUCCUCUGAGCACCCCUCUCAGGCGGAAAGAGGAAUUCUCCUUAUUCAAGGUGUCUGACGAUGAAUAUAAAGUGAAAAUCUCUCCUCAACUGCUCUUGGCCACCCAGCGCUUCCUUUCCCGAGAGGUGGAUGUAUUCAGCCCAGUACGAAUUUCCGAGAAGGUCCUGCUGCACCUGCUGAAGCAUCCCAGUGUCAACCAGGAAGUGAGGUUUGACGAGAGCAACCGCCUGGCCACACACCAUUACCUGUACCAGCGCAGCCAGCCAGUGGACUAUUUCAUUCUCAUCCUUCAGGGCAGGGUUGAGGUGGAGAUCGGGAAAGAAGGGCUGAAGUUUGAGAACGGGGCCUUCACCUAUUAUGGAGUGUCUGCCCUGACUGCACCAUCCUCAGUUCACCAGUCCCCAGUGUCCUCGCUCCAGUCCACCCGCCACGAACUACAGCCUGAGCCGGCUGAUGGCACUCGCCUGUCUGCGUAUUGUCCUGACUACACCGUGAGGGCACUCUCUGACCUGCAGUUGAUUAAGGUCACGAGGCUGCAGUACCUCAAUGCACUCCUGGCUACCCGAGCCCAGAGCCUGCCCCAGUCCCCUGAGAACGCGGGCUUCCAGGUCAUCCCGGGCAGCCAGACCAGACUGCUCGGAGACAAGACAUCUGCAGCAGCAGCCUUCCCAGUAGACCUUUCCCUCUUUGGCACAUUUGGAAACUGCAGUUGAUAAUUGUGGACUAGUGAGCAUUUUUUGUUUUAAGAAAACACCCAGAAGAUCUUGAACAUCACGCUUCCUUCCAGGCAGGUGCUCUAUUGUCCAGGGCAGGCGCCCUGGCCCAGCAUGAGGCCUUGGCCACCUGGCCCAAGCACAGCAGACCCAGCCUCCCCGCAGAGGAGAGCCCUGGGCGGAACCCAGGAGUCUGACUGCUUGCCAGGCAGCCCCAGGUUGGGGAAUGGACAAGCACGUGGGGAACUGCAGAGAGCCGAGGAGUAGCUUCCUGCCAGCCUGUCCCCAUCCCCCCCAGGCCACGUUUUAGAUGGCCCGUAGAGAUGGGUCCUGGGCUGUCCUUAAGCUGGACGUCAGUGCAGGAGCCUUCUGCAGGCCCUGUCCUCCUUUAGGAAAGGGGGUCAAUGGGACACAGCCCUCUGACCUCUUGGAGGGAAUGAAGGGAACAUGUCACUUCCGGUCCCCAGGGCCCAGCCUUCUCCCUGUGACAGUGUAGUGCAUUUUUUCCUCUUGGGGCCAAGCCAUAAUAUGAGUGCAUGAUUACUGCCUUUAUGUGACUGUGACCUGUACUCACUUUGCUUUUCAUUUGGCAACCUGCUGCUGCUGGUAGCACUCUUUGAGCAAACCAAGAGUACCAGUUUCCACUGGGGGUUCAGAUCCAUGGCCUUGGCCACAGUGAACUGUUUGGCUUCCCUCACAAUGCCUUGUUUCAAAGCACGUGCCCCAGCCUGUCCUGAGUGCCAAACCUAGGAGCAUGGUUUCCCAUGAGCCUGCCCCAUGGCCCCGCUCCCUCCUGUGGAGGCUGCUUGUCUGGCCCUGCCAGAGCCCUGAGCGAACCAGCUGGCCCCCAGUGGGCUGGGCAGGCCUGCAAUUGCUGCUUCUCUGCUUGUCCUGCUUAGUAGCUGCUAACAGUAUUGUCACUUUCUGUGUUUUAAGAAGAGGUCAACAUGGGAGGAAAGGAUCUUUUUGCUACACCUAAUCCCUUUUCAUUGUGGGAUCCCGGGAGGCUCACCACCUAUGAGAUUCCUCCUAGGCCUCCGUGGGGGUGCUGUGGGCAUGAUGUGCCUGGAUAGCAGCAAGGGAGGAAAGGCUGGGUUAUGGACCAGUAGACCCCCGUGGCCUUUCUUUAAAAAAUUUAUGUGAAAUCAGAGAUUUUUUUACAUCUCUGAAAUAUUUCAAGUUCUUUGCUUUUUCCCUGUUCCCUGCUGUGGGGUUUUAGAGAAGUGGGAACAAGAAGGCAUUUGUCUUUCUCUUCGUUUACCUAUAGUUACCUUCCAUAUUCCUUCAGCUGUGUGGAAAUUAGGGCAUCACAGGGACGUGCGAUUGGGUAGAGUAGGGAGGCAGGAGGGUUUCAGGAACCUCUCUCAAAGGGAUUUAGGUCCCUACCUGGGACCACUGGGAAUAAAGGCAAAGAGCAGGGGCACGCUCUCUUAGAAACUGUUCUCAAGGAAUUCUCCCCAAGAGCAAACCCAGGUAGGAGACAGACACUUUAAAAAUCAUCUCUCCAAAACAGUGGUUCUUAACCUUGGCUGCACAUCACAAUCACCCGGCACUUAGAAAUACUGAUACCUGGGGCCCAUCCCCAGGGAUUCUGAUUUAGUCAGCCUGGGCAUCAAGAUUAUAUUUUUGAAGUAAUUUUAGGCUCAGAGCUCCAUAUACCCUUCACCCAGCUUUCCCUGAUGUUAACAUCUUAACAUAACCUUGGCACAUAUAUAUCAAAACUAAAAAAUUAAUACUGGUACAAAACUAUUAACUAAAUUCUAAACUUUAUGUGGAUUUCACUAGGUCUUCAAUAAUACCCCUUUUCUGUUGCAGGAUCCAAUCCAGGAGACCAAGUUGCAUUUAGAGCUAUUGUUUUUUUUUCCCCUCACUUUUAUUUUGAAAUUACAGAUUCAUAGGAAGUUGAAAAGGUAGAGGUACCUUUCACCUAGUCUUCCUCAGUGGUUACAUCUUACAUAGUUAUAAUGCAGUUUCAAAACCAGGACUCUGACGGCGGGGUGUGUAGUUUUAUAUCAUCUUAUAUGGAGACUUGUGUAGCCACCACUGCAGCCUAAGUAUUGGGCUGUCCCAUGACCACAAGGGUCUCCCUCCAGGCCACACCUGCCCUCUGCGGUCACCAGCCCUAAUCCCUGGCAACCACUAAUCAGUGCAUCAUCUCUGAUUUUGUCAUUUCAAGAACGUUGUGUAAAUGGGAUCAUACAGUAUAUAACCAUUUGGGAUUGGGUUUGUUCACUCAGCAUAAUACUCUGGAGAUACAUCCAGGUUGUUGGGUGCAUUGUAGUUCCUUUUGAUUGCUGCCUAGUAUUCCAUGGUAGACUCAUCCCUUUUAAGGACAUUUGGGUGGUUUCCAAUUUUUGGCUAUUCCAAAUAAAGCUGCUAUGAACAUUUAUUACAGA